AGAAAAUAAGAACCGAAAAAACCAGAGGAGAGAUAAAGAGAGAAAUUCGAUUAAGCGAUCGAAUGGCGAUGCAACAAUGGAGAAUCGAAUAUCUGCAAAUGUGAAGGAGAAAACGCGAAAAAAAUUCGGCGAAUGGGAGCUUCUCCUCAUGCGAUUGAUAAUCGUGUAGAAAUGAUGCGGGUGUACGUUGCAGCAGCUACCACUAGUGAUUUCAGCACUUGAUGCAUAUAUGGGAAAUGGCUUACAUAGACUGUGACUCAACUUCUCACAUACAUGGAAAGCUCCCAGCUCAAGUCAUCCUCUCAACUUAUUCCCUCUGAACAGGUAAGUCACUUUGACCCCCUUUCCCCUUGGUAACCACAAAUGAAAUUAGUCUUGUAUCAUGUUUUAGAAUUGCUUCAUCACUUUUGGUCUGGAAUUAUGCUGCUGGGUUUGGCUUCGAUAUCCAUACAUGCCUUUGUCUAAUGAAUGAAAUUCGUCUUUUCUCAAAGAUUUGUU